rnacentral:rRNA from 1 species
GAUGAACGCUGGCGGCGUGCCUAAUACAUGCAAGUCGAGCGAACAGACGAGGAGCUUGCUCCUCUGACGUUAGCGGCGGACGGGUGAGUAACACGUGGAUAACCUACCUAUAAGACUGGGAUAACUUCGGGAAACCGGAGCUAAUACCGGAUAAUAUUUUGAACCGCAUGGUUCAAUAGUGAAAGACGGUUUUGCUGUCACUUAUAGAUGGAUCCGCGCUGCAUUAGCUAGUUGGUAAGGUAACGGCUUACCAAGGCGACGAUGCGUAGCCGACCUGAGAGGGUGAUCGGCCACACUGGAACUGAGACACGGUCCAGACUCCUACGGGAGGCAGCAGUAGGGAAUCUUCCGCAAUGGGCGAAAGCCUGACGGAGCAACGCCGCGUGAGUGAUGAAGGUCUUCGGAUCGUAAAACUCUGUUAUUAGGGAAGAACAAAUGUGUAAGUAACUAUGCACGUCUUGACGGUACCUAAUCAGAAAGCCACGGCUAACUACGUG